CAGGCUGCGGUGUUACUGCAGUCUGCAGUGCGUGGCUGGCUGGCCCGGCAGGCGUACAGGCGGGUAAGGGCAGACAUGGUGCUGAUGCAGUGCUGUGUGAGGCGGCGGGCAGCCAGGAGGGAGCUGGUGAAGCUGAAGGCAGAGAACCGCUCGGUGGAGAAGUUCAGAGAACUCAACAAGGGCAUAGAGGUCAAAAGGACGCAGCUGCAGCUCAGGGCCGACCAGGAGAUCAGAAAUAGUAGCUCUGAGAGAGACCCUCCAUGCGGAGCAUAAGGCCCACAGCACUGAGCUGGACGCCCUGUGGGGGGGGGGUAGUUAAACUGGAGAACCAGCUAGAGACACAGCUCCAGGCCCAGCAGUCCCAUCCCAGCCCCUCCGUCACAAAGAAGGAGAUAGAUAAGAGGGGGGCAGAGGAGAGAGCAGCCCAGGAGAUUCUACAACUCACACAGUAGGUGAAGGCCCUGCAGGUAGAGAGGGACUCUUUGGGGAAAGAGGAGGAUCUGAGCACUCGCUUACUGAAGCAGGGGAAGGCUCAGGAGGGUUGGUGUAUUCAUAAUUGCUAUAUGUUCUGAUUAAUGUGUGUAUCUACAUUUGUCUGUAAUCGUGUGUGUAUGUAUAUAUAUGUAUAUAGUCCAGGUGGUGGCCCAGGCAGGUAAAGCUGUGACAGCUGAGCUGCAUGAGGAGGAAGUACCAGGGCUUGCUCAGAGAGUUCACCAGGCUGGAGCAGAGCGUACUAAGGGCCACAGAUUCAAACCAGAGCCUGAUCCUGGAGCCCCCAGUCCCCAUCUCUGUCCCCAUUGUCGCCACCCUUUUCCGGCCUUCCUGCCUUCCCGGUCACACCUUCCUUCUUCGGCCUUCCUGCCUUCCCGUCUCCAGAGAAGCUGAGGAGGGUUAGCGUGACGUCCCCCACCACAGAGAGGAUGGCCUGGCCUGGCUCAACUGGGUAGAUGACAAGAGAAGAUCUGGGGCACGCCUAUGUUGCUGUAUGAGUGGCCAACAAGUCAGUCCCUGUUUCCUGAUCAAUACCUUCACAGCAAUAAAUAUGUUUUAUUGUGACAUACACCGGAUAGGUGCAGUGAAAUGUGUUGUUUUACAGGGUCAG